rnacentral:rRNA from 1 species
AUUGAACGCUGGCGGCAUGCUUUACACAUGCAAGUCGGACGGCAGCACAGAGAAGCUUGCUUCUCGGGUGGCGAGUGGCGAACGGGUGAGUAACAUAUCGGAACGUACCGAGUAGUGGGGGAUAACUGAUCGAAAGAUCAGCUAAUACCGCAUACGUCUUGAGAGAGAAAGCAGGGGACCUUCGGGCCUUGCGCUAUUCGAGCGGCCGAUAUCUGAUUAGCUAGUUGGUGGGGUAAAGGCCUACCAAGGCGACGAUCAGUAGCGGGUCUGAGAGGAUGAUCCGCCACACUGGGACUGAGACACGGCCCAGACUCCUACGGGAGGCAGCAGUGGGGAAUUUUGGACAAUGGGCGCAAGCCUGAUCCAGCCAUGCCGCGUGUCUGAAGAAGGCCUUCGGGUUGUAAAGGACUUUUGUCAGGGAAGAAAAGGCUGUUGCUAAUAUCAGCGGCUGAUGACGGUACCUGAAGAAUAAGCACCGGCUAACUA